rnacentral:rRNA from 1 species
CCUACGGGAGGCAGCAGUGGGGAAUAUUGCACAAUGGGGGAAACCCUGAUGCAGCGACGCCGCGUGAGUGAAGAAGUCCUUCGGUAUGUAAAGCUCUAUCAGCAGGAACGAGACAAGACGGUACCUGACUCUGAAGCCCCGGCUAACUACGUGCUAGCAGCCGCGGUAAUACGUAGGGGGCGAGCGUUAUCCGGAUUUACUGGGUGUAAAGGGAGCGUAGACGGUUAUGCAAGUCGGAAGUGAAAGCCCGUGGCUUAACCGCGGAACGGCUUUGGAAACUGUGGAACUGGAGUGCUGGAGUGGCAAGCGGAAUUCCUAGUGUAGCGGUGAAAUGCGUAGAUAUUAGGAGGAACACCAGUGGCGAAGGCGGCUUGCUGGACAGUAACUGACGUUGAGGCUCGAAAGCGUGGGGAGCAAACAGGAUUAGAUACCCGUGUAGUC